CUUGACCCGUCGGCUGGCUCCCAGGAGCAGCAUCAGUGGCAGCAACUCAAACACGAAAACACUGGUUAAGAGGGUGGUUCAUGUUAUACCUCAAAAGUGUCUGGGUUUGCAGACAGCAAGCAACCAAUUACUUGAAAAAAUCUGGGAGGAGGCAGAUCAGUUAGUAUCUGCAUAGUGAGGGAAAAGCACACUGCAAGAAAACGUCAAAUCCAUAUGGGAUUGGAGACGCAUCACCAUUAGGCAAGCUGGUCUCAAUGUAAAACAGUUUUGCUGGAUGAGAUUUAGUGGGUGUACUGGUGAGCCAAAGAAGGCUUGUGUUUUUCACUUCCCUGCUUUUUUUACUCCAACUUCUGUUGUUAGUUAGCAUACGGUGUCUCAGAUGUCUGAAUGAAGUGUAAAUUGCAUUUGUGAUAUCUACAGCUAGAAAUGAUCUAUUUAGGAAGGAGGGAAAAAAAACUGACACAAAAUAGGAUAGAGACCUGGUGCCUUUAAAAGGAAUUGCCUUCAAGGUCCUGCAAAACAAGCUCUGACAUUCAGGUGCCUUGCCAACCAUGAUCCCAAGCUGCUGUUCCACUUCCACACUUGGCAAAAGCCAGAAUGAACAAAGGCAGCAACCCAACUGUCUUCAUUCUUCAGUGGUUCCAACAGAUGACAUCAUCUGUGACUGCGUUCCCCUUUUCUAAUUAUGGAAAUCAGACUUAGGAAAUCAAAAUCAGUCAGAAUUGGCUACUUAUCCAAACUCCUCUCUCCUAUCUAUAAACGUACACAACCAGCUCUCUUAAAAAUUAUUUUAUUUUUAAAGAGUGUGCAGUGCUGGAGUGGUGUAAGAGAGCAAAACAAUAAAAUAUCCAGAAACAAAAAUCCAGAAUGGCAUAUGCUUUCCUGUGUGACCCUUUUGGGCCUGAAUAGUGGCUCUUGUAAAAAGCUUCAAGUUUCCACCAGGUGUCCUGAAUUUUCAGUCUCAUUGGAUUUUUUUCUUAAUGUGGAAAUUAUUGUUUUUCAUCUUACAAGAGAAUACACUUAAAAACCAGUCCUCAGUACCCUUUUUGGAGAUUGAGAAAACAGAGCCAGUGUGGCUUAAACAAUUCCCUUCUCCCCAAAAUGGAGGCCGGUGAAGACCAUGUGACAGUGGGUGUCUUCAGCCUGACACGUGAUAUCCUACUCCCAGUGACAGCAUCCAUGAAACAGAAUGGCAUGGAGAGCAUCAGCACCCUGCAUAAAGGACAGCAUCCCUCUUCAUCAGCAGUGUCUAACCAUUCAUUCACCCAGGAAAAACUUACUGCACACCUACCUUCUCCUCAGAACUAGAAAACGAUGAUGAAUCAGACCUGGUUCCUCCACUGUAGUGAACAGAAAGGCCCAUCUGUCUCCCGCCUCCUAGAAUAGACACUAGGCUUCCAGCGGCUUGACUGUCAUUGUUACUGUCUAUGGAAUGAAUCUUACUCUGGAAGGAGAUUGGACUUUGGAACAGGCUGACCUGAAUUCAGAUCCCAGCUCCACCACUGACAAACUGUGUAACCACUGGCAAUGAAUACAACCUCUCUCAGCCUCCGGUUCCCUAUCAAAAACACCGUGGUAAUACUGUUAUCUUCAGAAAGUUGUUGAGAAGAUUAAAUAAAAUUGUGUUAAUAAACCAAAGCUCCUGGUGCCUUUUCUUUCCUCCACAAUUCUCUCCCAUCACUCAAACUAUUUUUCAAUCCAGCAUUAUCUAUCUAUGCUCAUACCAUGAGUUAGCAUGCUCACCUUGCUAUUACUUUAGAAAUUAUCCAAUAAGCUAAUAAAAAUAACAAAUGCAAAGCCUUGUUGAUAAAGCCUGCGUUUCACCUCAGUGGGAACUCUAAAAUGUGUUCCUCGAUGCAAAAGGUUUUAAUGGGUUCCCUGGUCAAAUAAUUCUGAGAAACACUGCAAACUAAAUCUUCCUUUAUGGAUGGGCCAGGUUAGCCUGCUAAUGACUCUGGGAAGUCCCAGAGAAAAGAAAACCUG
rnacentral:lncRNA from 10 species